UACGGAGGGUGCAAGCGUUAUCCGGAUUCACUGGGUUUAAAGGGUGCGUAGGCGGCUAUGUAAGUCCGGGGUGAAAUCUCUGGGCUUAACCCGGAAACUGCCAUGGAUACUAUGUGUCUUGAAUGUUGUUGAGGUGAGCGGAAUAUGUCAUGUAGCGGUGAAAUGCUUAGAUAUGACAUAGAACACCAAUGGCGAAGGCAGCUCACUAAGCAAAUAUUGACGCUGAGGCACGAAAGCGUGGGGAUCAAACAGG
rnacentral:rRNA from 1 species